rnacentral:rRNA from 1 species
AUUGAACGCUGGCGGCAGGCCUAACACAUGCAAGUCGAGCGGAUGAAGGGAGCUUGCUCCUGGAUUCAGCGGCGGACGGGUGAGUAAUGCCUAGGAAUCUGCCUGGUAGUGGGGGAUAACGUCCGGAAACGGGCGCUAAUACCGCAUACGUCCUGAGGGAGAAAGUGGGGGAUCUUCGGACCUCACGCUAUCAGAUGAGCCUAGGUCGGAUUAGCUAGUUGGUGGGGUAAAGGCCUACCAAGGCGACGAUCCGUAACUGGUCUGAGAGGAUGAUCAGUCACCAGGGGACGAGGAACCGGUCAAGAGACGGAUGGGAGAGAGAGGUGAGGAAGAGGGGAGAUGGGGCAAGAGCCUGAGGCAGCGAUGCGGGGUGUGUGAAGAAGGUGUAAGGAUUAUAAAGUAUUUUAAGUGGGGAGGAAGGGCAUGAAGUUAAUACAUUGUUGUUUUGAAAUAACAAAAAAAAUAAACGCCGGCCAAUGGAGAGCCAGCAGCGACGGUAAUAGGCGGAAGACAACACUACUGAAC